GCAGGCCUAACACAUGCAAGUCGAGCGGAUGACGGGAGCUUGCUCCUUGAUUCAGCGGCGGACGGGUGAGUAAUGCCUAGGAAUCUGCCUGGUAGUGGGGGACAACGUUUCGAAAGGAACGCUAAUACCGCAUACGUCCUACGGGAGAAAGCAGGGGACCUUCGGGCCUUGCGCUAUCAGAUGAACCUAGGUCGGAUUAGCUAGUUGGUGGGGUAAUGGCUCACCAAGGGGGACGAUCCGUAACUGGUCUGAGAGGAUGAUCAGUCACACUGGAACUGAGCACGGUCCAGACUCCUACGGGAGGCAGCAGUGGGGAAUAUUGGACAAUGGGCGAAAGCCUGAUCCAGCCAUGCCGCGUGUGUGAAGAAGGUCUUCGGAUUGUAAAGCACUUUAAGUUGGGAGGAAGGGCAGUAAGUUAAUACCUUGCUGUUUUGACGUUACCGACAGAAUAAGCACCGGCUAACUCUGUGCCAGCGGCCGCGGUAAUAGCGGGCGCGUUAAUCGGAAUUACUGGGCGUAAAGACGACGACGUAGGUGGUUUGUUAAGUUGGAUGUGAAAGCCCCGGGACUCAACCUGGGAACUGCAUCCA
rnacentral:rRNA from 1 species